rnacentral:rRNA from 1 species
UGAGUGGCGGACGGGUGAGUAACGCGUGGGCAACCUGGCCUGUACAGGGGAGUAACACUUAGAAAUAGGUGCUAAUACCGCAUAACGGGGGAAGCCGCAUGGCUUUUCCCUGAAAACUCCGGUGGUACAGGAUGGGCCCGCGUCUGAUUAGCCAGUUGGCAGGGUAACGGCCUACCAAAGCGACGAUCAGUAGCCGGCCUGAGAGGGCGGACGGCCACACUGGGACUGAGACACGGCCCAGACUCCUACGGAAGGCAGCAG